GACGAACGCUGGCGGCGUGCUUAACACAUGCAAGUCGAACGGAAAGGCCCUUCGGGGUACUCGAGUGGCGAACGGGUGAGUAACACGUGGGUGAUCUGCCCUGCACUUUGGGAUAAGCCUGGGAAACUGGGUCUAAUACCGAAUAGGACCACGCGCUUCAUGGUGUGUGGUGGAAAGCUUUUGCGGUGUGGGAUGGGCCCGCGGCCUAUCAGCUUGUUGGUGGGGUAAUGGCCUACCAAGGCGACGACGGGUAGCCGGCCUGAGAGGGUGACCGGCCACACUGGGACUGAGAUACGGCCCAGACUCCUACGGGAGGCAGCAGUGGGGAAUAGUGCACAAUGGGCGCAAGCCUGAUGCAGCGACGCCGCGUGAGGGAUGACGGCCUUCGGGUUGUAAACCUCUUUCACCAGGGACGAAGCGUAAGUGACGGUACCUGGAGAAGAAGCACCGGCCAACUACGUG
rnacentral:rRNA from 1 species